rnacentral:rRNA from 1 species
AUUGAACGCUGGCGGCAGGCCUAACACAUGCAAGUCGAGCGGAUGAAGAGAGCUUGCUCUCUGAUUUAGCGGCGGACGGGUGAGUAAUGCCUAGGAAUCUGCCUGGUAGUGGGGGAUAACGUUCCGAAAGGAACGCUGUUACCUCAUACGUCCUACGGGAGAAAGCAGGGGACCUUCGGGCCUUGCGCUAUCAGAUGAGCCUAGGUCGGAUUAGCUAGUUGGUGAGGUAAUGGCUCACCAAGGCUACGAUCCGUAACUGGUCUGAGAGGAUGAUCAGUCACACUGGAACUGAGACACGGUCCAGACUCCUACGGGAGGCAGCAGUGGGGAAUAUUGGACAAUGGGCGAAAGCCUGAUCCAGCCAUGCCGCGUGUGUGAAGAAGGUCUUCGGAUUGUAAAGCACUUUAAGUUGGGAGGAAGGGCAGUAAGUUACUACCUUGCUGUCUUGACGUUACCGACAGAAUAAGCACCGGCUAACUUCGUGCCAGCCGCCGCGGUAACAC